UACGAGGGGGGCAAGCGUUGUUCGGAAUUAUUGGGCGUAAAGGGCGCGUAGGCGGCGCCACAAGUCACUUGUGAAAACUCUGGGCUCAACUCAGAGCCUGCAAGCGAAACUGUGGUGCUGGAGUAUGGGAGAGGUGCGUGGAAUUCCCGGUGUAGCGGUGCAAUGCGUAGAUAUCGGGAGGAACACGUGUGUCGAAAGCGGCGCACUGGAACAUAACUGACGCUGAGGCGCGAAAGCUAGGGCAGCAAACAGG
rnacentral:rRNA from 1 species